rnacentral:rRNA from 1 species
UACGAAGGGGGGCUAGCGUUGUUCGGAAUCACUGGGCGUAAAGCGCACGUAGGCGGAUCUUUAAGUCAGGGGUGAAAUCCCGAGGCUCAACCUCGGAACUGCCUUUGAUACUGGGGAUCUCGAGUCCGGGAGAGGUGAGUGGGAACUGCGAGUGUAGAGGUGAAAUUCGUAGAUAUUCGCAAGAACACCCGUGGCGAAGGCGGCUCUCUGGGACGGUACUGACGCUGAGCCGCGAAAGCCAGGGGAGCGAACGGG